rnacentral:tRNA from 1 species
CGGGACGUGGCGCAGCCUGGUAGCGCACUCGCUUUGGGAGCGAGGGGCCGCCGGUUCGAAUCCGGCCGUCCCGA